rnacentral:rRNA from 1 species
UACGAAUCGUCCAAACGUUGUUCGGAUUUACUGGGUUUAAGGGGCGCGUAGGCGGUGCGUUGAGUCGGCGGUGAAAUACUUCGGCUCAACCGGAGAAUUGCCGCUGAAACUGGCGCGCUCGAGGGAGGUAGAGGUGCGUGGAACUUCCGGUGGAGCGGUGAAAUGCGUUGAUAUCGGAAGGAACACCUGUGGCGAAAGCGAUGCACUGGACCUCAUCUGACGCUGAGGCGCGAAAGCCAGGGGAGCGAACGGG